rnacentral:lncRNA from 1 species
UCCCAUCCUGCCUUCUCCGGGACGGGCGACCCCGCGGGGUGGGGGAUGGGGGCUUCCGUGGGACAGGAGAUGGAGGAACCGGGGGUAGGGACGCGGGAUGCCCCACCUCAUGGUCCUGCAGGCAGGAGGGGCUGAGCCGGCAGCGCGGGGCCGCCCCACGCCGGCAGCACCGAAGCCCAGGGGAGGCCGUGGGGAAGGCCGGGCGCUGCCCGCGGGGCUCAGGGCGUGAAUCGGGCUCUGCUGCACGGGGCAGCUGUGCAAACAGCGCGGGGUGCUCGGGGACAUCAAAGCCUGCACGGAGCCGUUUGCCGCCCCUUUGCUCUGCUCCAACAGCACGGCAGGAUGGGGUCGGUGCGGCCGAGCAGCCCCAACCCCAGUGAGGACCCCCGGGGUCCUGUGGGCAGCAGCGGGGUCGGCGCCCAUUGCCCACGUCGUCACCGACAUGGGGCUCUGCGCUCUUGCACGGGGCGACGUGGGUGUGGGCAGCGCUCAGCCCCGCGGGGAUCCACCCUUGGGGCGUCCCAGGGCCGGCUGGGCGCAGGCUGCCCCUCGUGUGGGCAGCUGGGGGACGCGCGAGGUGAACCCUCCAGCUCCUCCCCAAACUCCCCAAUAAACCCCCGCUCGGCCCCGGCCCGCUCGGCCCCACCCCGCAGGACCGCAGGGCCCCUCAGCACGGCCGGAGCCCGCGCUGCUGCCCUGAGCUGCCGCCGCCCCACGGCGAGCCCAGCGAUGGUUUCAGCCCCAGGCAGAGCCCGGCAGCACCGCAGCACCCGCCCGGAGCGCGGGGUCCGUCCGGGAGCCCCCAGCCCCGCAUCUCCCGCACAGCGCUGGGGGGGUUGGGCCGAAACCCCACCCGACCCGCCGGGCGGCGCCCCCCAGCGCACGAGGGAAGCGGGGCACCAAACCUCGGCCCCUCACGGCGGGGCCCCGCAGCGCAGCUCCGACCGCCCGGCCCCCCCCCAUCCCCCGCAGCUCAUCGCUGGAAAAUCCAGCCGGCUCCGAGCAGCUUUUCCUUUCCAAAAUGUGCGCUGGAGACGCGCGAGGCGCUGCCGUAACCCCUUCGGCUCCUCCCUGCCCCUGACCGCACGUUCCAGCGGUGGGACGCGCAGGGCUCGGGGACCCCGCGGGUGCUGCCAGCUCCUCUGGGGAACGGCACGGGAGCACCGCGCCCCGGCUGCGCCACGAAGACCCCGCGCAGCUCCGCGAGGCUCCGGGGCUGCCCGGACUGAGCCCGGCCCGGCCCCGCUCCGCUCGGGACAAACUCUUUUCUUCCGGCCCGCAGCACGGCGGUGCCGUGCGGAUCAGCCCGCGGCCUCCACGCUUACAGCCCGGACGGCAGCGCCGCCCCCGCUGGGACCCCUCCGCGCGUCUCCCCGCUCCCGCAGCCCUAAUCCUGCCCACAAUGCCAGCUAUUUCCUCGGGGCCGGGGCCGCCCCGCACCCACGAGGUGCCCGCAGCCACGAGGCGCCCCGCGGCGGGGAAUCCUCGCCGUUCGCUGACAUUUAGGGUUCUUUUUUUCUCCUUUUUCCCCCCCCUCUGCAAAAGCUCUUUGUCUGCAGCUGGAGGGGCUGCACGGCGACGGCCCCGCGAGCAGCCCUGCGCCGUCCCACCGCGCUGCUCGACGUGGGGAGGAAAUAAAACAGAGCGGCGAGCAGAACAGCAGCGCUUGUUUCACUCUCUGUAUUUGCAGUCGCAGAGUCGGG